rnacentral:lncRNA from 1 species
CAGCAACAUCAAAUCAGCCGGAAAGCACUAAUCUCGAACCAUCAAGGGGCAAUCCUUACACACUUUGUCAACCAUAACACACAAGCCCAAGGGGUUUGACACUUUAAUCACAAGCUCAGUAGACUCAACAGGUAGAGUCUUGAUGAAUACUAAUGUCUCACACACGUAAGAAUGAGUAGAACCAGGAUCAAUUAAUGCAAUUACAUUAGUAUCAUAAAGAGUGAAUGUACCAGUAAUAACAUCAGGGGAUGAAGCCUCUUCUCGCGCGCGAAUGGCAUAGGCUCUAGCAGGAGGACGAGCCUUGGAUCUAACUACUGUAUCUUUAUUUCCUCUUUGACUUCUAC